UUACUCUUUAAGAUGACCAAAUAAUAAAAUAUGGAUCUAAUUUUUUGAAUAUUAUUAUUAUUAAAAUAAAUAAAUAAAAUUAAAAGUAAAAUAAAUUAUAUUAUAGAAGAUAUUAUCUUAGAUAAGUUGCUAUUGAUAAAAGAAUUGGCUCUUGCUAUGUAAGAAGGCGAAGAGGUAAGGUAGAUGAAGAAACAAAUGAUUUUAAGAAUAUAAAAGAUAUCCUAAAAGAA
rnacentral:lncRNA from 1 species